rnacentral:lncRNA from 1 species
CUGACACAGCCAGCGACCUUUCCCUUACAUUCAACUAUUUUUAGCUCUAAUGCCAUCCUCCUCACGUGAAACUCUUUGCCUCCCCCCACCCCCAUCGUUGUCCCCAACCCUUGGGGCUCCCAGAUCUUCAAGCACCCUUCAGUCUGCAGGAACUACCCACCUGAUUCCCACCGUGGAAGGGGAGUUUCUGGUUCCGCCCUGCAUCUAUUCUCUCGACCCCAAUUUGGGAGUGGGUGUCAGAUUCCCGGUAAGGGCGGGGUAUCGGUGGCCAAGCCUGAAGGACGAGGGGACAUGGGCCAGAGUGGCCAGCCCCAUACACUGACAGGACCGAACCUGAGCUGUGAGUAGGGACCAGAAAAGGGCGGCCAAGCCCCCCACUCGGCCCCUAGCCCAGCUCGGGAACCAAGCCGGUGCUGAAGUCCAGAGUUGGGGGCGCCUGGAACCCGGCUCUGUCCAGGCCGACUCCGCUUCCCAGGACGCUUCUCCCAAGCCCAAGGCCGCCCUUCGCUGCCCUUGGGGUUCCUGGCGCUUUCAUGGCCCGGACCCACGUCCUUCACCCUCAUAGCUAGGCCAGUCCGAACGUGCGCGCGGGUUCCGCGGCAGUUGGCGGGGCUGGGAGAGCCCGCCCGGGGGGCGCGGGCCUCCGAGGCCACCAGUGGGGUGGGG